UGUGUAAAAGCUUAGCAAAAAACCUAGCUAGAUAGAGACACAGGAGGGGAAGUGUAGCCUGUAAAAAGGAUGAGUUGAAAAGCCCUGGGCUAAGCUAUUCCUGAAAGAGUGAACUAGGGAUCACAGCAGGAGCUAAAGAAUUUGUGGGAUAUCCAUCCAUGUGGAGACCUAAGCUCCCUGUCCACUGCAUGGGCUGGCAGUUUGGUUACUCCUAGGCAGAACAGCUCAGAGGAGAACAUCAGGUGGUAGCUCCUGGUUUUGUAGCUAUUGGGUCAGAGUCUUCUCUCGCUUACACCAGGCUAACGUCAAUGGAGGAAUCUUACUCUCUUCUUUUGUACCAGUUCAAAUGAAAGUAAAACUUGGCCCAAUGUCGCUCUAAAUAUCCUAGUAUGCUGGCACAACAGUAGCUCAGCCGUAGGCAGUCUAACAUACCUGCUACAGCUGUCUAGGUUUUGUUGUUGCAGAAAUCUGCUAAUCGUAAACAGAGUACUGAUGACGGAUAGCAUUUUCAAAGGAUAAAGUGGUUGAACCUUAGGAAGAGAUUCUACUUCAAAUCAUCCUCAGAUAAAAUAAAAGAAAUCAUCCCUUUUUAUUUUAUGUACUCAUUCUAAUCUACCUGCGGUUCCAACAAGUCUAUAAAAUCACGUUCCUAAUUUGACAUCUACUCAUGAAACUCCUGGCAUUGUACCAAAAAUAUUCGCUGCUGGGCGAGAAGUAAUGAAAGACCUCAAAUGAUGCAUUGUCUCUUUCCUUCUCCUCUAUUGCAAUGAUGCUGCUUAAAAAAAUGGUGUUUAACCUCCCUACGCUGUGACAUAACUCAAUAUGAAGAAAAAAUGAUGGUGUUGUGAAGGUCUCCUUUAAACAUGGAAGAAGCCAUUGGUGGAGUGAGGGUGUGGGAAGAUAGCUGAAACAAAUAUCUUGCUAGUUGCUAUUAACCUGCAUCUUAAAGUACUAGCAUAUCUGCUCACUUACUUUCAUAUCCAGUAGUAAUAACCUAAUCUCAUUCAAA